AUUACAUAUUAAACACUGUGUUUUCAAAACUAAAUGAUAAAUCUGGACCCUUAAAGGAGGCACAAAAGAAUCCGAGCGAGAGAGGAGGGGAUGCUAAGAAACAAAACAAGAGACGGCAAAAGGAAGAUAAUCAGAUAAAAAGAAAAGAGAACGUAGGAAAUGCAAUUGGGAAAGAAUUUCAAGAAAAUAAGGAUAAAGGGCUGGGAGGGCUGACAGGAGGGCAAGAAGGAGGGAGGAAAGGAAGGGUUUGGGGUUUUUAAUUCCCUGGCGAGGCUGCUGGCGUCCGCGCCCUUAACGCCACAGCCUUCCAAGUUGAGGCGAAAGCCACCUCCUCGGGCCUGCGUCGCAUCCAACUUACUCCAAGUUUUCUGGUGACUCCUACAGGGCCCCUUUCCGUCCCCGCCCCCCCCCCCCCCUUAGAGAGAUUGACAGUCGCGUGGAGGAGGCUUUUCCAGGCACAGCCUUUCUCAUGGUAAUCAGCCCCCAGCAUCACCUCCCGGCUGCGGCCGCUCCCGCUCCUUGCGCAGCUCGCGGACCCCGGGGACCGGAAACGGGGCGGCGGGCGGGGAGCAAGCUAGCUAGCGACCCAGGCUCAACUCCGAAUGGAUUGGAUUGCAAGUUUGCACAUCGGGAAGGAACGAUUCAUUUGCAGGACUUGUUUUGCUGUGUGAGGAGACGAAAGCACCAGUCCUCUCUCGACUUUUCCCUGCGCCCAGCCCUCCUGCAUCCCGCUGAUCCCACGAUCACCAUUGUCCCCGACCUGGCCUUCGGACUCAGGGAGUGUUCGGAACAAAUUUAUAUUCGGCUUCCUCCCGUCUCCCCGCCAGUGCGUCGAUGGGAACUCUCGGUCAAAUGAGGAGGGGAGUGCCAGGGGCGUGCCAGGCAGGGGCGGGGGGCAACCUGCCCGCGCGCUCACCCCUCGCAGAAACCCUUCCCUUGCCCUCAUCCCAACAUACACCUUAAUGGGAACCUGAAAGAUUGCUUUUUUACCCCAAACCAAAUACUUGAAAGUCGGAACUCCCAGUGCUAAGUGUUGGGGCUGCCUCCUGCCACUUGAACAAUUACUGAGCCCACAGUAAUCAGAUGAUUAGGUGUUUUUAAUGGAAAUACUUCAGUCUUUUUUUUUUUUUUAAGUCAGAUCCUAAGUAACCUGACACUAAUAUACAUAAUAAAGACAAGUGAUUUGUUAGCCCUUCUCUGAGAUCCUUUGACCUGAGGUUUUUGCCUGUGACUGUGUGUCUGAGACUGUAACCCUCCAAGGACUACCUGGGCUCCAGCAGUGGGGUCUUGCCUGGAAUCACUCCUUUGCAGUGGGAUCCUUCUUCCAUGGGAAUGGGAGAGGAGAGGCUGAAGAGCAAACUUCUAGAGAAAGCUGGAUUCCAUUUUUUUUUUAAUAAAAAGGAGGGGGAAGUGGGAAGAGGAAGAAAAAAAGACAUUAAUAAUACAGCUAAAUCUCAGGGGAGGAACUUGAUAAGUCAGACAUAUAUUUAAUAUAAAUAUGUACUAUUAAAAGCAAUGUAAAACUAAAAUUUUAAAUAUUUCUAACCCAUAUUGGAAAUCAUUAAUUUUCUUUUUUUACAAUUAACUUUAGAAUGAUGAUCUUGAAUGCUCCUCUUCUGUAGGUAAAUUAUCUGUAAUGGUGUGGGGGAGAAAAUUAAUUUACGUAGCUAUUCUCAUUGUAAUAAAGAAUCAAGUUAAGAAAGAGAUGAGUCUGUAAACAACUGUGAAAUUUUACUUUUUUUCAUCUUAAAGUAAGAUGUGGCUGUGGUCAUGCUAGAUGGUUAUUUCCCUCCCCCCAAAUAUGCAAAAUAGAAAGACUUGCACCUCUGGGACUAUGGAUGUGGCAACCCAAGUGGUGGCUUUUCCCUCCUCUGCGUGCAAUUGCAAGUGACUCCUGCAUUCAAAGUCUUGCUUUAGGCACACAUUCAAAGCACAAUUCAAAGCAGUUUAUCUUAAUAUAAGUAAAAGUCUAGUGUUGGAUCAGGGUAUUAUUUGUUUCAGAUUUCAUCAGACUGAAAACAGAGGGCUGUGACACUGAACAAUAUUAAAGCAGAAAAACUGGUGGUGAGGUGGUUUAAUCCUCCUGACACCUCCACCUUUACCUUUGCAAGGAAGUCCAAAGGCUGUUGGGACUGGAAGUUUAUUUUGUGCUCUGAGGUUCUCAAGCACUUUCACUCUUAAGAAAAAAAAAAAAAAGUCUCACAGUUCUUUAAGAAAUUGAGCCUGAACCAUUGGAGGCUAAGAGAUUUCUUCCUUUUCCGAUAAAUGCCUGUGCUCAGCAUCCUCAAAUUUGGCUGUCUUUAUUUACUUCUAUAUUAGUUCCAAUUACGUGCAGUGUAAACCAGCUUUUUGAUUAACAAAACAGCAGAGCAUUGGUUAAGAACACUUAAACUUCAAAAAAAAUUCCCCUGGGAAGUGGGCUCUGAAUCGGUUAAUAAUGUGCAGUACUUGCUAAAUUGCUGACUUCCAGAUGUGGAAAAUAUCUUUCUUGUUUAGGACCUAUGUAACCUGAUUGGAUUACGACAGAAGCGUCACGUUGGAAGCUUUUGAGUGAUUAUUUAAUUAACCAUACAGUAGAAAGCUGUAUUCUCCAGGAAAUCCCUUCCAUAUUUACAUAACCAAUCCCUUCAGAGCAAAGGUGGAGUCUUUUCUUUUUAAUUUUACUUUAAUUGCAAUAUCAGAAAAAUAUAUACUCCAAAACUUAGACCCCAUGCCGUUUAAUAUCAUACUCUUCCUUCCCUGCUAAGUCCCUCUAUGGCCUUUCUCCUUUUCCUCCUACACACACUCCCUCACUUUGUAGUGAGGUCUCCGUGAGAUGUAGAGAGAUUCAGAGAUCAGUCAACCCAGCGCUCUAUGUUAAUUUACUUAGAGACCCUUUUUAAAAAUGCCAAACUACUUUUUACCAUUGAGAUCCAAUCCAGAAAUUCAUCAUACACACACCCCAGCACACACACCCUAAGAUGUAGUUCACAUGCAGCAUUUUUUUUUCUGGCUCUGCCAUCCAAAAAGAAAAAUAAAAUAAAAUAAAAGAAGAAAAAGGGCAAAGAAUUUAGUUCCAGAAGACGUGCUGAGAAAUCCACACAACUUAAUGUGCAUCUCAAGUCUGGCCAUUAGAAAUAUCUGUAUAAGAAGAGGCGAUCUGGAUUAAGGACCCGGGAUCUUUCCCUUUAACUUUCGCCCCUUAGAGUUCUCCAGUUCUGUGAAUGGUGUGCACCGUUUUCCGCCCUGUACUCUGUAGGAUUUAGUGAUGAGGAUAAUGAUGCCAAAGGCUUGACGGGGGGGGGUGGGGGGGGGCGUGGAGAAGAGAGGGAGGGAGGGAGGGAGGCGAGAGGGAGGGAGAGAGGAAGGGAGGGAGGUGGAAUUUCAUUUCUUCCACUAAAGCGUUUGCGGAGACUUCAAGGUAUAAUCUAUCCCAGAUCCUUUCCCAGAGAGAAACUUGGCGAUCACGUUUUCACAUG
ensembl:lncRNA